AGAUACCCGACCUAUUGUCAUUUGCACGAUUGGGGAAGAACGGGAGCGUGUGGCGUUUUGUGGUUUGUGACGGAUCGACCCGAGAGGGUGGAACUGGAACGGCCCGCGCCGGCGCUGCUGCCCUGACGAACGAGAACUUCGGCGGAAGAGGUAGACUAGAUCUGCCCGCCGCCGGCCGUAAACGUAUUUUACUCUGCAACGAGAAUGUGAAGCCUGAUGUACCAAAACAAAAUGAAAAGCAAAACUUUCAACAACGGAUCUCUUGGCUCUGGCAACGAUGAAGAACGCAGCGAAACGCGAAAGGUAAUGCGAAUUGCAGAAUCAGUGAGUCAUCGAAUCUUUGAACGCACAUUGCGCCUCUCGGUAUUCCGGGAGGCACGCCUGUUCGAGCGCCAUUACACACCCCAAGCUGUGCUUGAUGUUGGACGCUGUCUGUGAAAGGACAGGUCUGGAACGCGUGGGCGCCGCCGCCGGACCACGAGCGUAGCAAGACGCAAGUCAUUCGCUCUGUGGACUCUGGUGAGUGGUUGUCGUGAUGCCGGGUAAGAGCGGCAUCAAAAGACAUAUAAAGUUUGGCCUCGGAUCAGGCGGGGAUACCCGCUGAACUUAAGCAUAUCAAUAAGCGGAGGAGAAACCAACAGGGAUUGCCCUAGUAACG
rnacentral:rRNA from 1 species